rnacentral:rRNA from 1 species
UGCCAGCAGUCGCGGUUACACCGAGAAAUUAAGUUAUAUUUAUAACGGUAAAAAGACAGUUAGACAUUAAUUAUUUAAAGUUUUUUGAUUUUUUAUAAAAAAGUAAAAUUUAUAUAUAAAUAUAUAAUUUAAUAAAAGCUAGAAAGUCGAAUCUGUGACAACUUAGAGGGAAACUGGGAUUAGAUACCCCACUAUUCUUAGUUAUAAAUCAAAAUUAAAUUUACCAGAGUACUAUGAAUAUCACAAAAUUUAAAACUCAAAGGACUUGGCGGUGUUUUAGACCGUUUAGGGGAACCUGUCUCAUAAUCGAUAAUCCACGUUACACCUAACCUUUUUUUGCCAUCAGCUUGUAUAUCGUUGUCGUCAGGUAACUUUUUAGAAACUAGAAGUUAGCUAAAAAUAAUAAGUUUUAACGUCAAAUCAAGGUGCAGCUAAUAGAAAGGUGAAGAUGGGUUACAAUUAUUUUAUUUAUAAUUACAGAAAAUCAUGAGAAUUAAUGAUAAAUAAGGAGGACUUAAAAGUAAAUUAGAUUAUAUAAAUAAUUUGAAUAAGGCUCUGAAAUGUGCACACAUCGCCCGCCACUCU